CACGCUGUAAACGAUGACGACUAGGUGUGGGGGGGUUCAGUCCCUUCCGUGCCGCAGCUAACGCAUUAAGUCGUCCGCCUGGGGAGUACGGCCGCAAGGUUGAAACUCAAAGGAAUUGACGGGGGCCCGCACAAGCGGUGGAGCAUGUGGUUCAAUUCGAUGCAGAGCGAAGAACCUUACCUGGGCUUGACAUGCAGGAAGUAGGAACCGGAAACGGGGACGACCUGUUAAGUCAGGAACCCGCACAGGUGGUGCAUGGCUGUCGUCAGCUCGGGCCUUGAGGUGUUGGGUU
rnacentral:rRNA from 1 species